rnacentral:misc_RNA from 1 species
GCAAAGUUGGUAUAAAACGCGGUGGAGUGUGAAAACGGCAAAGAAAUGCUAGCAGUUAUACUGUCACCAUCAUCGUCUGCUAGAGUUUUCACCUCAGCUACUCUUCAUAAACCUGUCACCACCUUCUUUCUUCUGCGACCAUUUUCUCCUUCUCUCUGUGCUUCCCGCCUUCAAGUUCGUGUAAUGGCUGACUCCGCCUCUGUCCCCUUCAAGAAAAUCCAAAUCCAGAGAGACGAUACUACUUUUGAUGCAUACGUGGUGGGCAAAGAAGAUGCUCCUGGGAUUGUUGUGCUUCAAGAGUGGUGGGGUGUGGAUUUUGAGAUCAAGAACCAUGCUGUGAAAAUAUCCCAACUAGACCCUGGAUU